CCUACGGGAGGCAGCAGUAAGGAAUAUUGGACAAUGGGCGAAAGCCUGAUCCAGCCAUGCCGCGUGAAGGAUUAAGGUCCUCUGGAUUGUAAACUUCUUUUAUAUGGGACGAAAAAGGGCAUUCUUGCUCACUUGACGGUACCAUAUGAAUAAGCACCGGCUAACUCCGUGCCAGCAGCCGCGGUAAUACGGAGGGUGCAAGCGUUAUCCGGAUUCACUGGGUUUAAAGGGUGCGUAGGCGGGUAGGUAAGUCAGUGGUGAAAUCUCGAAGCUCAACUUCGAAACUGCCAUUGAUACUAUUUAUCUUGAAUAUUGUGGAGGUUUGCGGAAUAUGUCAUGUAGCGGUGAAAUGCUUAGAUAUGACAUAGAACACCGAUUGCGAAGGCAGCAGGCUACACAUAUAUUGACGCUGAGCACGAAGACGUGGAGUACAACAGAUAGUAUACCUACGUAGUACACGACCGUAACCGAC
rnacentral:rRNA from 1 species